AAUUCGUAUUGAGGACACUUUCUCAUAAGCUCCUUGAAUCGUUUCCAGGCUGCACAUAGGGUUUCUCCAUCAAAUUGAAUGAAAUUGGUUACUUCAUUUACUAGCCU